CUCUUAGAUGUUCUGGGCUGCACGCGUGCUACACUGAUUAUUUCAACAAGUGUUUUAACUGGAGAGUUCGCGUAAUCCUGAAAUGUUAUCGUGAUGGGAGUAGAGUAUUGUAUUUGUUAAUCUUUAACGAGGAAUUCCUAGCAAGUGUAGGUUUAUAAGUUGUUCUGAUUACGUCCCUGCCCUUUGUACACACCGCCCGUCGCUCCUACCGAUUGAUUGAUCCGGUGAAUUACAUAGAAUUUUGCGUUUUACAUGACGGAAGACGAAGUGUUUUAAACCUUAUCAUUUAGAGGAAGGAGAAGUCGUAACA
rnacentral:rRNA from 1 species